rnacentral:rRNA from 1 species
UGAUCCAGCCAUGCCGCGUGAGUGAAGAAGGCCUUCGGGUUGUAAAGCUCUUUCAGAUGCGAAGAUGAUGACGGUAACAUCAGAAGAAGCCCCGGCUAAUUUCGUGCCAGCAGCCGCGGUAAUACGAAAGGGGCUAGCGUUGUUCGGAUUUACUGGGCGUAAAGGGCACGCAGGCGGUCUUGCCAGUCAGGGGUGAAAGCCCGGGGCUCAACCCCGGAACUGCCUCUGAUACUGCAAGACUAGAGACUAGGAGAGGGUGGUGGAAUUCCCAGUGUAGAGGUGAAAUUCGUAGAUAUUGGGAGGAACACCAGAGGCGAAGGCGGCCACCUGGACUAAAUCUGACGCUCAGGUGCGAAAGCGUGGGGAGCAAACAGGAUUAGAUACCCUGGUAGUCCACGCCGUAAACGAUGAGUGCUAGUUGUCGGGACUUCGGUUUCGGUGACGCAGCUAACGCAUUAAGCACUCCGCCUGGGGAGUACGGUCGCAAGAUUAAAACUCAAAGGAAUUGACGGAAA